GAACGACUCUCGGCAACGGAUAUCUCGGCUCACVCAUMGAUGWAGAACGUAGCAMAAURCGAUACUUGGUGUGAAUUGCAGAAUCCCGUGAACCAUCGAGUUUUUGAACGCAAGUUGCGCCCGAAGCCAUUCGGUUGAGGGCACAUCUGCCUGGGCGUCACAU
rnacentral:rRNA from 1 species